CAACGGGGGAGCAAGGACAGAAGAAAGAGGUGCAGAAGGAGGAAGAGGAACAAGCAGGAAGGCGCCAGCGGAGGAGACGUGAAAAGAAGCAGGAGGAGACCGACUCUCCAGGAGCUUAGCAGAAGAAACGGGCAGGCUGUGCUUCCACCGGGCGGACGGCUUCAUUUCGCUCCCUCUCUCGGCCACUGAUCACUCUGCGUGGGGCUGCAGCUGGCCCUGCAGCGUGGCAUUCCUGGUGCUGGACUUCAUGUCUUUGCACUCAGGAGCCCUGACAGGGGUGGGAGUGCGGCCUCCUCAGGCCGCCCUGAAUCUCUCUGCACCGAGUCCCUUGCCAUUGGGUGGGAGGUGGCUUGCUCCUGCUGGACCUGAAGUAUGUGUGCUGAGCCGCCCCUGGAUGGGACUGGGGGUAUUGCUUUUUCGCGCCACUGCUUUCUGUAUGUGCGCUGAGCUGCCCCUGGGUAGGCUGGCCUGGGGGUGUUGCUUCCUCGCGCCGAGCCUUAGAGGUAUGUGCGCUGAGCCGCCCCUGGUCGGGGCUGGGGGCGUUAGCUUUCUCACGCCGAGCUUGAUGCCAUGUGCGCUGAGCCUGCCCCUGGCUGGGCUCAGCUUGGGGGUGUUGCUUCCUCUCGCGCCGAGCCUUCGGGUAUGUGCGCUGAGCCGCCCCGGGCUGGGGCUGGGAGCGUUGCUUUGUGCUGCCAGGCCUUAUGUCUCUGCACUGAGCCGCCCCAGUGAGGGCUGGGGGCGUUGCUUCCUCUCGCCACGAGCUUCACGUCUUUGCUCUGAGAAGCCCCUCAUUUGGCCAGGGGGUGGCUCUCUCCAAGCCUUGCUGCCUGACUUUGCCCUUCAUGCUCCCAGUGGUGUUGAGCUGGCCACUCCGGCCUGCCCACGGAGCAAGCUCGGGACGGUAGAAGUGUGGCCUCCCGGACCUCUUCCAGCAGCAGCAGCAGCCUCUGCUGGCUGAAGGCACACGCCUGACGCUUGGUGUGCUCACGCUCCUCCUUGGCUUGGGCUCUUGCGUGAGCAGGGCUGCUCCUCAAGAAGGCCUUCUGAAGAGGGAAAAGAGUCAAGAGCUGCGAGAAGCUGAUCUCUUGCCAUGGGAGGCAAAGGAGAGAAAGGGCAGAAGAAAGAAGUGCCGCAGGCUGGCGAAAGAGAAGCCGCAAGGAGCAACAGGAGGAGACCUGGACGGGGAAGAAGGAGGCGGAGAAGACUGGCUCUCAAGCAGCUUCACAGAAGGAAGAAGGGGGAGAUUCCGCUCCCACCAGCUGGAGGGCCUCAUUGCUGCCCUUCUCUCUGCUCUGUCUCCCUGAGUAGCCACUGGUUUGGGAGGGGCGUGGACAGAACAGGAUGGACUCGGUGUCCAUCCGCUCAGUGGCCCUUUCUUGAACUGGGCUGCGGCUUUCUCGUGCUGGACUUCAUGUCUCUGCACUUGGGGAGCCCUACAAAUAGUGAGAGGGUGGCCCUCAUAGGGGCCAUCCAAGGGGCAGCCCCUAUUUCAGCUGAGGUGUGGCUUUCUCGGGCUGGACUUUAUGUCUUUGCACUGGGGAGCCCUACGACUGGGAGCGUGGCCUUCUUGGUGUCUGUAUACUGGAGAAGCCCGGAUUGGUCUGGGGAGUGGCCUUCUCGUGCUGGACUUUACGUCUUUGCACUGGGGAGCCCUACAAAUAGUGAGAGGGUGGCCCUCAUAGGGGCCGUCCAAGGGGCAGCCCCUAUUUCAGCUGAGGUGUGGCUUUCUCGGGCUGGACUUUAUGUCUUUGCACUGGGGAGCCCUACGACUGUGGGAAGUGUCUGUAUACUGGAGAACUCCUGAUUUGUCUGGGGGCGUGUUUCUCGUGCUGGACUUCACGUCUCUGCACUGGGGAGCCCUACAAAUAGUGAGAGCGUGGCCCUCGUAGGGGCCGUACACGGAGCAGCCCCCAUUUCAGCUGAGGUGUGGCUUUCUCGUGCUGGACUUCACGUCUUUGCACUGCGGAGCCCUACAAUUGUGGGAGCGUGGCCUCUUUUUGAUUAUUAUUAUUUUGACAUUUCUAGCCCGCUCUUCUUCCCAGGAGCCCAAAGCGGUGUACUGCAUACUUGUUUCCCCCCCGUCCCACAACAACCCUGUGAGUAGGUUAGGCUGAGAGAGAAGCGACUGGCCCAGAGUCACCCAGCUAGUAGCAUGGCUGAAUGGGGAUUUGGACUCGAGUCUCCCCGGUCCUAGUAAACUAGGGAACCCCUGAUUUGGCUGUGGUGCCGGUUUCACGUGCUGGACUUCACGUCUUUGCACUGGGGAGCCCUACAAUGGUAAGAGUAUGGCCAUCGUAGUGGCUGUAUACUGGGAAACCCCGAUUUGGCCGGAGAGCGGCUUUCUCAUGCUGGACUUCACGUCCUGGCACUGGGGAGCCCCAAAAGAGGUGGGAGUAUGUCCUCCUCAGACGAGCCUGAGUGUCUGUAUGCUGCGUGGCUGCUCGUUUAUCCGCAGGGUGCCGUUCCUCGCUGCGUGACUUUGCCCUUCAUCUUGCAAGUGGUGAUGAGUUGGCAUCUCCCAACUGCCCCGUCCCUAGUCUUCAGCUUGGCGCGCCCUGCCCACGGAGAAAGCCAGGGACGGUGGAAGUGCGGCAUCCAUGACCCCUUCAAGCAGCGUGGUGUGCCAAGGAGCGGGCCCUGCUGGCUGGCUGAAGAAGGCACACGAAGGCAACGGGGGAGCAAGGACAGAAGAAAGAGGUGCAGAAGGAGGAAGAGGAACAAGCAGGAAGGCGCCAGCGGAGGAGACGUGAAAAGAAGCAGGAGGAGACCGGCUCUCCAGGAGCUUAGCAGAAGAAACGGGCAGGCUGUGCUUCCACCGGGCGGACGGCUUCAUUUCGCUCCCUCUCUCGGCCACUGAUCACUCUGCGUGGGGCUGCAGCUGGCCCUGCAGCGUGGCAUUCCUGGUGCUGGACUUCAUGUCUUUGCACUCAGGAGCCCUGACAGGGGUGGGAGUGCGGCCUCCUCAGGCCGCCCUGAAUCUCUCUGCACCGAGUCCCUUGCCAUUGGGUGGGAGGUGGCUUGCUCCUGCUGGACCUGAAGUAUGUGUGCUGAGCCGCCCCUGGAUGGGACUGGGGGUAUUGCUUUUUCGCGCCACUGCUUUCUGUAUGUGCGCUGAGCUGCCCCUGGGUAGGCUGGCCUGGGGGUGUUGCUUCCUCGCGCCGAGCCUUAGAGGUAUGUGCGCUGAGCCGCCCCUGGUCGGGGCUGGGGGCGUUAGCUUUCUCACGCCGAGCUUGAUGCCAUGUGCGCUGAGCCUGCCCCUGGCUGGGCUCAGCUUGGGGGUGUUGCUUCCUCUCGCGCCGAGCCUUCGGGUAUGUGCGCUGAGCCGCCCCGGGCUGGGGCUGGGAGCGUUGCUUUGUGCUGCCAGGCCUUAUGUCUCUGCACUGAGCCGCCCCAGUGAGGGCUGGGGGCGUUGCUUCCUCUCGCCACGAGCUUCACGUCUUUGCUCUGAGAAGCCCCUCAUUUGGCCAGGGGGUGGCUCUCUCCAAGCCUUGCUGCCUGACUUUGCCCUUCAUGCUCCCAGUGGUGUUGAGCUGGCCACUCCGGCCUGCCCACGGAGCAAGCUCGGGACGGUAGAAGUGUGGCCUCCCGGACCUCUUCCAGCAGCAGCAGCAGCCUCUGCUGGCUGAAGGCACACGCCUGACGCUUGGUGUGCUCACGCUCCUCCUUGGCUUGGGCUCUUGCGUGAGCAGGGCUGCUCCUCAAGAAGGCCUUCUGAAGAGGGAAAAGAGUCAAGAGCUGCGAGAAGCUGAUCUCUUGCCAUGGGAGGCAAAGGAGAGAAAGGGCAGAAGAAAGAAGUGCCGCAGGCUGGCGAAAGAGAAGCCGCAAGGAGCAACAGGAGGAGACCUGGACGGGGAAGAAGGAGGCGGAGAAGACUGGCUCUCAAGCAGCUUCACAGAAGGAAGAAGGGGGAGAUUCCGCUCCCACCAGCUGGAGGGCCUCAUUGCUGCCCUUCUCUCUGCUCUGUCUCCCUGAGUAGCCACUGGUUUGGGAGGGGCGUGGACAGAACAGGAUGGACUCGGUGUCCAUCCGCUCAGUGGCCCUUUCUGGAACUGGGCUGCGGCUUUCUCGUGCUGGACUUCAUGUCUCUGCACUUGGGGAGCCCUACAAAUAGUGAGAGGGUGGCCCUCAUAGGGGCCAUCCAAGGGGCAGCCCCUAUUUCAGCUGAGGUGUGGCUUUCUCGUGCUGGACUUCAUGUCUCUGCACUUGGGGAGCCCUACAAAUAGUGAGAGGGUGGCCCUCAUAGGGGCCAUCCAAGGAGCAGCCCCUAUUUCAGCUGAGGUGUGGCUUUCUCGUGCUGGACUUUAUGUCUUUGCACUGGGGAGCCCUACGACUGUGGGAGCGUGGCCUUCUUGGUGUCUGUAUACUGGAGAAGCCCGGAUUGGUCUGGGGAGUGGCCUUCUCGUGCUGGACUUUACGUCUUUGCACUGGGGAGCCCUACAAAUAGUGAGAGGGUGGCCCUCAUAGGGGCCGUCCAAGGGGCAGCCCCUAUUUCAGCUGAGGUGUGGCUUUCUCGGGCUGGACUUUAUGUCUUUGCACUGGGGAGCCCUAGGACUGUGGGAAGUGUCUGUAUACUGGAGAACUCCUGAUUUGUCUGGGGGCGUGUUUCUCGUGCUGGACUUCACGUCUCUGCACUGGGGAGCCCUACAAAUAGUGAGAGCGUGGCCCUCGUAGGGGCCGUACACGGAGCAGCCCCCAUUUCAGCUGAGGUGUGGCUUUCUCGUGCUGGACUUCACGUCUUUGCACUGCGGAGCCCUACAAUUGUGGGAGCGUGGCCUCUUUUUGAUUAUUAUUAUUUUGACAUUUCUAGCCCGCUCUUCUUCCCAGGAGCCCAAAGCGGUGUACUGCAUACUUGUUUCCCCCCCGUCCCACAACAACCCUGUGAGUAGGUUAGGCUGAGAGAGAAGCGACUGGCCCAGAGUCACCCAGCUAGUAGCAUGGCUGAAUGGGGAUUUGGACUCGAGUCUCCCCGGUCCUAGUAAACUAGGGAACCCCUGAUUUGGCUGUGGUGCCGGUUUCACGUGCUGGACUUCACGUCUUUGCACUGGGGAGCCCUACAAUGGUAAGAGUAUGGCCAUCGUAGUGGCUGUAUACUGGGAAACCCCGAUUUGGCCGGAGAGCGGCUUUCUCAUGCUGGACUUCACGUCCUGGCACUGGGGAGCCCCAAAAGAGGUGGGAGUAUGUCCUCCUCAGACGAGCCUGAGUGUCUGUAUGCUGCGUGGCUGCUCGUUUAUCCGCAGGGUGCCGUUCCUCGCUGCGUGACUUCGCCCUUCAUCUUGCGAGUGGUGAUGAGUUGGCAUCUCCCAACUGCCCCGUCCCUAGUCUUCAGCUUGGCGCGCCCUGCCCACGGAGAAAGCCAGGGACGGUGGAAGUGCGGCAUCCAUGACCCCUUCAAGCAGCGUGGUGUGCCGAGGAGCGGGCCCUGCUGGCUGGCUGAAGAAGGCACACGAAGGCAACGGGGGAGCAAGGACAGAAGAAAGAGGUGCAGAAGGAGGAAGAGGAACAAGCAGGAAGGCGCCAGCGGAGGAGACGUGAAAAGAAGCAGGAGGAGACCGGCUCUCCAGGAGCUUAGCAGAAGAAACGGGCAGGCUGUGCUUCCACCGGGCGGACGGCUUCAUUUCGCUCCCUCUCUCGGCCACUGAUCACUCUGCGUGGGGCUGCAGCUGGCCCUGCAGCGUGGCAUUCCUGGUGCUGGACUUCAUGUCUUUGCACUCAGGAGCCCUGACGGGGUGGGAGUGCGGCCUUCUCAGGCCGCCCUGAAUCUCUCUGCACCGAGUCCCUUGCCAUUGGGUGGGAGGUGGCUUGCUCCUGCUGGACCUGAAGUAUGUGCGCUGAGCCGCCCCUGGAUGGGACUGGGGGUAUUGCUUUUUCGCGCCACUGCUUUCUGUAUGUGCGCUGAGCUGCCCCUGGGUAGGCUGGCCUGGGGGUGUUGCUUCCUCGCGCCGAGCCUUAGAGGUAUGUGCGCUGAGCCGCCCCUGGUCGGGGCUGGGGGCGUUAGCUUUCUCACGCCGAGCUUGAUGCCAUGUGCGCUGAGCCUGCCCCUGGCUGGGCUCAGCUUGGGGGUGUUGCUUCCUCUCGCGCCGAGCCUUCGGGUAUGUGCGCUGAGCCGCCCCGGGCUGGGGCUGGGAGCGUUGCUUUGUGCUGCCAGGCCUUAUGUCUCUGCACUGAGCCGCCCCAGUGAGGGCUGGGGGCGUUGCUUCCUCUCGCCACGAGCUUCACGUCUUUGCUCUGAGAAGCCCCUCAUUUGGCCAGGGGGUGGCUCUCUCCAAGCCUUGCUGCCUGACUUUGCCCUUCAUGCUCCCAGUGGUGUUGAGCUGGCCACUCCGGCCUGCCCACGGAGCAAGCUCGGGACGGUAGAAGUGUGGCCUCCCGGACCUCUUCCAGCAGCAGCAGCAGCCUCUGCUGGCUGAAGGCACACGCCUGACGCUUGGUGUGCUCACGCUCCUCCUUGGCUUGGGCUCUUGCGUGAGCAGGGCUGCUCCUCAAGAAGGCCUUCUGAAGAGGGAAAAGAGUCAAGAGCUGCGAGAAGCUGAUCUCUUGCCAUGGGAGGCAAAGGAGAGAAAGGGCAGAAGAAAGAAGUGCCGCAGGCUGGCGAAAGAGAAGCCGCAAGGAGCAACAGGAGGAGACCUGGACGGGGAAGAAGGAGGCGGAGAAGACUGGCUCUCAAGCAGCUUCACAGAAGGAAGAAGGGGGAGAUUCCGCUCCCACCAGCUGGAGGACCUCAUUGCUGCCCUUCUCUCUGCUCUGUCUCCCUGAGUAGCCACUGGUUUGGGAGGGGCGUGGACAGAACAGGAUGGACUCGGUGUCCAUCCGCUCAGUGGCCCUUUCUUGAACUGGGCUGUGGCUUUCUCGGGCUGGACUUUAUGUCUUUGCACUGGGGAGCCCUACGACUGUGGGAGCGUGGCCUUCUUGGUGUCUGUAUACUGGAGAAGCCCGGAUUGGUCUGGGGAGUGGCCUUCUCGUGCUGGACUUUACGUCUUUGCACUGGGGAGCCCUACAAAUAGUGAGAGGGUGGCCCUCAUAGGGGCCAUCCAAGGGGCAGCCCCUAUUUCAGCUGAGGUGUGGCUUUCUCGGGCUGGACUUUAUGUCUUUGCACUGGGGAGCCCUACGACUGGGAGCGUGGCCUUCUUGGUGUCUGUAUACUGGAGAAGCCCGGAUUGGUCUGGGGAGUGGCCUUCUCGUGCUGGACUUUACGUCUUUGCACUGGGGAGCCCUACAAAUAGUGAGAGGGUGGCCCUCAUAGGGGCCGUCCAAGGGGCAGCCCCUAUUUCAGCUGAGGUGUGGCUUUCUCGGGCUGGACUUUAUGUCUUUGCACUGGGGAGCCCUACGACUGUGGGAAGUGUCUGUAUACUGGAGAACUCCUGAUUUGUCUGGGGGCGUGUUUCUCGUGCUGGACUUCACGUCUCUGCACUGGGGAGCCCUACAAAUAGUGAGAGCGUGGCCCUCGUAGGGGCCGUACACGGAGCAGCCCCCAUUUCAGCUGAGGUGUGGCUUUCUCGUGCUGGACUUCACGUCUUUGCACUGCGGAGCCCUACAAUUGUGGGAGCGUGGCCUCUUUUUGAUUAUUAUUAUUUUGACAUUUCUAGCCCGCUCUUCUUCCCAGGAGCCCAAAGCGGUGUACUGCAUACUUGUUUCCCUCCCUCCCACAACAACCCUGUGAGUAGGUUAGGCUGAGAGAGAAGCGACUGGCCCAGAGUCACCCAGCUAGUAGCAUGGCUGAAUGGGGAUUUGGACUCGAGUCUCCCCGGUCCUAGUAAACUAGGGAACCCCUGAUUUGGCUGUGGUGCCGGUUUCACGUGCUGGACUUCACGUCUUUGCACUGGGGAGCCCUACAAUGGUAAGAGUAUGGCCAUCGUAGUGGCUGUAUCCUGGGGACCCCCGAUUUGGCCGGGGAGCGGCUUUCUCAUGCUGGACUUCACGUCCUGGCCCUGGGGAGCCCCGAAAGCGGUGGGAGUAUGUCCUCCCCAGACGAGCCUGAGUGUCUGUAUGCUGCGUGGCUGCUCAUUGAUCCGGAGGGUGCCGUUCCUCGCUGCGUGACUUUGCCCUUCAUCUUGCGAGUGGUGAUGAGUUGGCAUCUCCCAACUGCCCCGUCCCUAGUCUUCAGCUUGGCGCGCCCUGCCCACGGAGAAAGCCAGGGACGGUGGAAGUGCGGCAUCAAUGACCCCUUCAAGCAGCGUGGUGUGCCGAGGAGCGGGCCCUGCUGGCUGGCUGAAGAAGGCACACGAAGGCAACGGGGGAGCAAGGACAGAAGAAAGAGGUGCAGAAGGAGGAAGAGGAACAAGCAGGAAGGCGCCAGCGGAGGAGACGUGAAAAGAAGCAGGAGGAGACCGGCUCUCCAGGAGCUUAGCAGAAGAAACGGGCAGGCUGUGCUUCCACCGGGCGGACGGCUUCAUUUCGCUCCCUCUCUCGGCCACUGAUCACUCUGCGUGGGGCUGCAGCUGGCCCUGCAGCGUGGCAUUCCUGGUGCUGGACUUCAUGUCUUUGCACUCAGGAGCCCUGACAGGGGUGGGAGUGUGGCCUUCUCAGGCCGCCCUGAAUCUCUCUGCACCGAGUCCCUUGCCAUUGGGUGGGAGGUGGCUUGCUCCUGCUGGACCUGAAGUAUGUGCGCUGAGCCGCCCCUGGAUGGGACUGGGGGUAUUGCUUUUUCGCGCCACUGCUUUCUGUAUGUGCGCUGAGCUGCCCCUGGGUAGGCUGGCCUGGGGGUGUUGCUUCCUCGCGCCGAGCCUUAGAGGUAUGUGCGCUGAGCCGCCCCUGGUCGGGGCUGGGGGCGUUAGCUUUCUCACGCCGAGCUUGAUGCCAUGUGCGCUGAGCCUGCCCCUGGCUGGGCUCAGCUUGGGGGUGUUGCUUCCUCUCGCGCCGAGCCUUCGGGUAUGUGCGCUGAGCCGCCCCGGGCUGGGGCUGGGAGCGUUGCUUUGUGCUGCCAGGCCUUAUGUCUCUGCACUGAGCCGCCCCAGUGAGGGCUGGGGGCGUUGCUUCCUCUCGCCACGAGCUUCACGUCUUUGCUCUGAGAAGCCCCUCAUUUGGCCAGGGGGUGGCUCUCUCCAAGCCUUGCUGCCUGACUUUGCCCUUCAUGCUCCCAGUGGUGUUGAGCUGGCCACUCCGGCCUGCCCACGGAGCAAGCUCGGGACGGUAGAAGUGUGGCCUCCCGGACCUCUUCCAGCAGCAGCAGCAGCCUCUGCUGGCUGAAGGCACACGCCUGACGCUUGGUGUGCUCACGCUCCUGCUUGGCUUGGGCUCUUGAGUGAGCAGGGCUGCUCCUCAAGAAGGCCUUCUGAAGAGGGAAAAGAGUCAAGAGCUGCGAGAAGCUGAUCUCUUGCCUUGGGAGGCAAAGGAGAGAAAGGGCAGAAGAAAGAAGUGCCGCAGGCUGGCGAAAGAGAAGCCGCAAGGAGCAACAGGAGGAGACCUGGACGGGGAAGAAGGAGGCGGAGAAGACUGGCUCUCAAGCAGCUUCACAGAAGGAAGAAGGGGGAGAUUCCGCUCCCACCAGCUGGAGGGCCUCAUUGCUGCCCUUCUCUCUGCUCUGUCUCCCUGAGUAGCCACUGGUUUGGGAGGGGCGUGGACAGAACAGGAUGGACUCGGUGUCCAUCCGCUCAGUGGCCCUUUCUGGAACUGGGCUGCGGCUUUCUCGUGCUGGACUUCAUGUCUCUGCACUUGGGGAGCCCCACAAAUAGUGAGAGGGUGGCCCUCAUAGGGGCCAUCCAAGGGGCAGCCCCUAUUUCAGCUGAGGUGUGGCUUUCUCGGGCUGGACUUUAUGUCUUUGCACUGGGGAGCCCUACGACUGUGGGAAGUGUCUGUAUACUGGAGAACUCCUGAUUUGUCUGGGGGCGUGUUUCUCGUGCUGGACUUCACGUCUCUGCACUGGGGAGCCCUACAAAUAGUGAGAGGGUGGCCCUCGUAGGGGCCAUCCAAGGGGCAGCCCCUAUUUCAGCUGAGCUGUGGCUUUCUCGUGCUGGACUUUAUGUCUUUGCACUGGGGAGCCCUACAACUGUGGGAGCAUGGCCUUCUUAGUGUCUGUAUACUGGAGAAGCCCGGAUUUGUCUGGGGGGCGUUUUUCCCGUGCUGGACUUCACGUCUUUGCACUGUCUGUCUUAGUGGCCAUACAGUGGGUUUCGGGUAUCACUUUUUCCAAUUGGAUUUUACAUUUUUUCUUUGUAUUUUACAUUUCAAUGUCUGGGGGAGCUUCAAUCCUGGUUAUAUGACUUUGCUCUUCUUUUUCUGAAUGGUGAUGAAGUGGUACCUCCGGCCUUGCGUGGUACGACAGUAGGGGUGCGACAUUUCUGACCUCUUCAAGCCGCGUGGUAUGCUGAGCACACUCUGCUGGCUGAAAGCACACGAGAAUAGGAGAAAGAUUGAAGGAAGAACUGCAGAACAAGGAGAAAGAACAUCAGAAAGUCCCAACAGGAGCCCUGAAGACUAACUGGAGAAGUGGGAGGAGAAGACCGGAUAACAAGAAGCAGGAGAGAAGAAACAGGCAGGCUCCCCUCCUCGGAGCUGACUGCCUCCUUCACGACUGAGUAGCAAUUCUGUCACAUAGAAAUAUCCCCACAUUGCUGUGAGCCUGUUUCAACCCAAGAUGGCGACCAUCUCCAAAGGACUUCACUUUUUGGUGGCGUCUAAAUAUUGGCACAGCCCUGUGAAGCUGCUUGGCCUGUCAGCUGGUGGGGGUCUCAAAAGAGCGGCAUGCUUGAGGGGCAGUUUUCUGGCAGUUCAGUCUUCAUGCCUGACCCUGUGUCUCGGCUGCUUCCUGCUCUGAGAAAUCCCCAAGGUACUUGGAGUGGGGUUUUCUUCAUUCCUGGCUUGAUAUCUCUGCUUCAGAUUGCUCAGAGCCUCCACUGAGAUGUCUGGAGAGCCACUGGCCUUGGGUGUGUCCAGGGUUUUAUCCUAGAUGGCUUCUCUGCCCCCCAUUAUUUCUGUGUGCUGCUUCCAAUAUUGUUUAAAUACAAACUUAAAAUAUGUUAGAAACUAAAACAAAAAUAGCUGUUGCAUAGGAUAACAUCUAAAAGGAUAGGAUCAAACCUAAAAAGAAUAAACAAGUGUAGUAUAAUAUAAGUAGGAUAACAUCUAAAAGUUUAGGAUAAAAUCUAAAAAGGUUCAACAAGUGUAGUAUAAUAUAAGACAUACAGAUCUAUUAACUUAAUUAGGAAGGCUAAUAGGAACUAAAAUGAAGCAUUUUCAACGUAGAUUAGAUAUUCUAGACCAACUAGUGUAUUAAAAUAAUAUUCAAAGCAGCAUAUGGGAAUGGUGAGAAAAAGCACUUUGCUACUGAAAGUCUGAAAGGCCAGAACCCAUCCACCAGUCCCUCAUGUAGCUCUUCCGUGGCUCCGAGUCUCUUCCUGCUAGCAUCUUACAGACUAUUCCCCCUUUGAUGCAAAGAUGAUGUGCUUGGGCGAUUUGAUGUAGAAAUAAAGAUCAAUAUUGUCUUUGUGUAGCUUUGCUUACUGACAGGCUUAUAGGAUGCUGAAGAGGGUAUUUCUGUCAAGCACCCAGAACUGAUUCUUAUUCAGUUGUUUUAACCUGUGUUUUUUUUUGUAAAUGGCCCAGAGCUAUGAGGUUUGGGUGGUCAUAAGCAAAUAUGCUAAAUAAAAAGCUCUCCGUAUUGUC